rnacentral:rRNA from 1 species
UUGACCUCAAAUCAGGUAGGACUACCCGCUGAACUUAAGCAUAUCAAUAAGCGGAGGAAAAGAAACUAACAAGGAUUCCCCUAGUAACUGCGAGUGAAGCGGGAAAAGCUCAAAUUUGAAAUCUGGCGGUUCUUGAUCGUCCGAGUUGUAAUCUAGAGAAGUGUUACCUGUGCUGGACCGUGUAAAAGUCUCCUGGAAUGGAGCAUCAUAGAGGGUGAGAAUCCCGUCUUUGACACGGACUGCCUGUACAUUAUGGUGCGCUCUCAAAGAGUCGAGUUGUUUGGGAAUGCAGCUCAAAAUGGGUGGUAAAUGCCAUCUAAAGCUAAAUAUUGGCGAGAGACCGAUAGCGAACAAGUACCGUGAGGGAAAGAUGAAAAGAACUUUGGAAAGAGAGUUAAACAGUACGUGAAAUUGCUGAAAGGGAAACGCUUGAAGUCAGUCACGUCGGCUAGAAAUCAGCCUUGCUCCUGCUUGGUGUACUUUCUGGUUGACGGGUCAGCAUCAGUUUUGGCCGCUGGAUAAAGUCUUUGGGAAUGUGGCAUCUUUGGAUGUGUUAUAGCCCAUUGUCGCAUACAGCGGUUGGGAUUGAGGAACUCAGCACGCCUGCAAAGGCCGGGUUUCGACCACGUUCGUGCUCAGGAUGCUGGCAUAAUGGCUUUAAUCGACCCGU